UACGUAGGUCCCGAGCUUUAUCCGGAUUUAUUGGGCGUAAAGCGAGCGCAGGCGGAUAGAUAAGUCUGAAGAUAAAGGCCGUGGCUUAACCAUAGUACGCUUUGGAAACUGUUUAACUUGAGUGCAGAAGGGGAGAGUGGAAUUCCAUGUGUAGCGGUGAAAUGCGUAGAUAUAUGGAGGAACACCGGUGGCGAAAGCGGCUCUCUGGUCUGUAACUGACGCUGAGGCUCGAAAGCGUGGGGAGCAAACAGG
rnacentral:rRNA from 1 species